rnacentral:rRNA from 1 species
CACGGGGGGAGCAAGCGUUGUUCGGAAUCACUGGGCGUAAAGGGCGUGUAGGCGGUCAAGUAAGUGGAAUGUGAAAUGCCCCGGGCUCACCCGGGGACCUGCAUCCCAAACUGCUUGGCUUGAGUAUGGGAGAGGAUGAGGGAAUUCCUGGUGUAGCGGUGAAAUGCGUAGAUAUCAGGAGGAACACCGGUGGCGAAAGCGCUCAUCUGGCCCAAUACUGACGCUGGAGGCGCGAAAGCCUAGGGGAGCAAACGGG